rnacentral:rRNA from 1 species
UACGUAGGGUGCGAGCGUUGUCCGGAAUUAUUGGGCGUAAAGGGCUCGUAGGCGGUUUGUCGCGUCGGGAGUGAAAUCCACUGGCUUAACUGGUGGCUUGCUUUCGAUACGGGCAGACUGGAGUUCGGCAGGGGAGACUGGAAUUCCUGGUGUAGCGGUGAAAUGCGUAGAUAUCGGGAGGAACACCUGUGGCGAAAGCGGCGCACUGGACCACAACUGACGCUGAGGCGCGAAAGCUAGGGGAGCAAACAGG